UCAAUUCCGGAGCGGUUUUCCGGAGGAUACGCACAGCGAACAUUCGGGCUGAUUGUGUCGCUGUGUAGGGUAGGUAUCAGCAAGUCCUUUUGUUGAUAGACGGGAUACUCUGGUCGUGGGAGCGGCAUAAACAUGGGAAACCCAACA
rfam:Vibrio aerogenes CECT 7868 genome assembly, contig: 0046